GAUGUUGCGAUUGCUAAAACAUCUUCAUCAUACUCUUAUUUUCUUCUAUGCAUUUUAUCUGCAAUACACAUAAAAUAGUUGAAAAGCUAGUAACUAAUUACAACAAUAAUAGCACAUAUAAAGUAGUUGAAAUAAAACAACACAUAUAAAAUAGUUGAAAAGUUAUGUAUUAUGUAUGUUAUUAAUUAUUGUAUUUAAUUUGUAAGUUAUGGAAUGAUAUAUUUUACAAUGAUUAAGUUAUGUAAAUAAUAUGAGUUAUUAAGUUAUGCAUAUAUAUAAGUUAUUAAGUUAUGUAAGUUAUUGUGUGAGUUAUGAUAUAACAUGUAUAACUUAUUAAGUUAUGUGAGUUGUUAAUUAUUGUAUUUAAUUUGUAAGUUAUGGAAUGAUAUAUUUUAAAAUUAUUACGUUAUGUCAAUUGUGUGAGUUGUUAAGUUAUUAAGUUAUGUAAGUUAUUAUGUGAAUUAUAUAAGUUAUUAAGUUAUAUGGUAUGACAUAUAUAUACGUAUUAUGUAAAUUAUGUGAGUUGUUAAGUUGUUAAGUUAUGUAAGUUAUUAUGUAAAUUAUAUAAGUUAUUAAGUUGGACCAAAUUCAAACUAGAAGAGCUCCCUUGGGGGGCGAGGUUGGUUUUACAAGUAACAGUACUGCUACAUUUUUUCCAUUCAAGAUAGAAGACCUCUAGCUAACUAAAGAAAUACCUAAUCAAGCUUUUUUAUAAGAAUUCAUAGCCAUAGAAAAGCAAAGAACCACAUUUAAUUGCAGUAGUCUAAGUAUGAUAUUAAGAUGAAGAUAACCCCAGUUGCUUUUGUCUUUAAGUUGAAUUGCAGUCAAUGAAGUUUGAUACUGCUUUACAAGAGUUAAAUCAAAUAAUAGCAGAAUAAUGAGUUCCCCCACAGCAUAGGAUAGCAAUGUCAAAUAAGAUGUGGCUAGAUAUGCAUGCAUUUGCAGAAUGACAAGGCAUUUGCAGACAUGGCAUGAAUUAUAGCGAUUAAAAGACACGGCAUGAAUUAUAGCAGAAUGACAAAUUGAAAGACAAGGCAUUUGCAGACAUGCAAUAUAUCCCACAAAGAUGGUGCAAAUGAUCUUGUAAUGGAAAAAAUUGAAAUAUGAGACUAAUAUAAUUGUUUUGUUGAGCUGUCGAAUUAUAAUUUAUAAUGAAAAUAAAAUCGAAAUAUUAUUCUCAUUUAAUUACGAAAGUCAAAAAUACGAUUAAAAUCGAAAUAUUAUUCUCAUUUAACGAUAUUAACUAUUUAAAUUAGUUAAUGAUAUUGUAAAAUGAGAUGAUUAAAUUGUAAAAUUUCAAAUUUAAACGACCAAAAACAGAAACUGACCUAACUUUUAAAAAUUUCUUAUAAUCCACCUUCUAGAAAUGAAUAACAGAUUGGUCCUUUUUUUCUAAAAUGGCAAUAAGCAUGGUUUGAGUUGACCCCCUCAAAAAUCACCAAAUCCUUUAAUCACACUAUUUUUUGCAACUUAAAAGGAAAACAAAUACAGCAGCUUAACACUAAUUUAUUAUGAGAUCAAAUCCCUCAAAUUUGAAGUGACUCCAAAGAAUUUAUUGUAAACCACAAAUAUUGCGUUUUUUGCACGAAUGUAGCAAACCAUAUUCCUUUCGAAGUAAAAGAAUUUAUUUUCAACAAAGAAAACCGAACACAUGAGGUACAAUUAUAUAAAGAACUUAUUAUAUGUUCUAUACCAACCAUUUUCAUUAUGCAUAAAAUAUUUAGGCCUUUCAAAAAUAAGACAUUAUGUUUCAAAAAUAUUAACUUAAAUUUAUAUAUAUUAUUAAAUAAUAAAAUUUGCAUUCACUAAAACAACAAUUUGCAUUAGAUGCAACAAUUGUAUCCAUACUACUUUAGGCAAUUCAACAAUCGCUAAGACUGCUUUAGGUAAUUCAAGUUUCAAUUUUGUGUUCCAUUAGCCAAUACAUGAAUCCAUACUACACAAACCAACCUGCUAACCAAGAUCUUUUAGUUUCUCCAAAAGAAAAACAUGUUUUUAUUCCUUCCUGCUAAAAGAGCUUCACCAAAGAAAUUCGCCAUGUAUUACUUCUGAGCCAACUUCUGAAUUUGCAACUUGAAUACCAAGAUUCUUUUCUAAAAUAAAAUCUAAAUAACCUUGUCUUUUUCCAAAUCCUUCUCAAAUUUCACCUAAAACUAACAAAACUACAGCAUGCCUCUUGAGACUGUUCUAGGGGUGAUCACAAAGCAACCAAACCAACAGAAAUUGAAAGAAUCUGACUUGGACAUAGUCACGGCCACCAAUAACAUAGUAAACCCAACACCAACAACAUUUCAUUGCUACUACCAAUCCUGAAAUAUAAUACAAUUAAUAGUGGCCAAGAAAGUCCAAAAGCUUUAUGCUAGAGAAUCAACGUUUAGAAUGCAACACAUACAUGGUGCAUAAAUAACAAAUAAAGGGAGAUCAGAGUAACCUCUACCAACAUCCAAAUAGGACAUAUACACAGGUGUUAUAAAGAAGUCGAAGGAAAACAGGCAGGAUAUUGGUUUUCAAAGACAUUUGCACGUAGCCAAAGCCCAGAGAAUCAAUCAGUUUUAAAAAAUCCACAAGUAAAAAUUUCUCAAUUCUUAUCGCCAUAUUUGUUGAGUACAAACAACUUGACAAAAAACACAUCCAAACUACAGAUCAUAUUCAUUGGUUCUAAAAGUUUCUAUCCACUAUACUGGCCACCAAGUAGAAACAACUAACAAGAAAUUCAAAUUAUUUCUCAACAUUGCUCAAGACCGAACGUGGGAAGAUUUCUGAGAAAAAGAGAAGAACCUUACCGAUUUCUCCGACGGCAGAGGAGUGCGACGGCGUGUUUGGCGACGGUCGACGAGUACGACGGUACAUGAGCGACGGCAGAAGGGGAACCUUCGGGUCCUGGAAGUUAUGCAAACUAGGGUUCUUGAUUUGGGGGAAUUUCGAGGAAAUUUGGGAGUGAAAAAUGAUGUGCUUCGGGUAUGGGACAAAUUGGAGG
rnacentral:lncRNA from 1 species